CAGCCCCUCGGGGCGCGGAGUGCAACCCGGGAGUUGCGAGGAGGCUGCAGUGACCCGGGCAGGGUCCCGGUUCAUCUGGGAGGGGGAGAGUUCCGGGCGCAGGGUGGGGGUGGGGUGGGGCUCCAGCUCGAGCUCUGUUCUCGGGGAGACGCGCUCAUCCUUUGGAUCACAACGCCCAGGGUGGGCGCCCGGCCAGGACUGUUCCUGCCCGCUUCUGGGAGAAACACAUGGAUUCUGCAGAGGACGAGGAGCGUUCAGGAUGGGAGGGAGAGAAAAAAAAGUUCGGAGAACCCUCAGAGGGCCGUUUGCGGGCUCAGGACGGCGGCGCCAGCCCCGGACGGCACCUGGGCAGCACCUGUGCCGGCAGCUGCGAAGGCCGCCUCAGCACCCAAGAAAAACACCGGAGGCUGCGCUCCUGGCCUCGGGCUUGCUGUCUGCGACAGGCAUCGUAAUACCUUCACUGUUAUUUGGCCACGGACCUCGGGUGGUCGGAUUCGCUUAUCCAUGGUAAUUCAGGCGCCGGAAGAGGGGAGCCUGCGCCUCAGGAGUAGUCGCCGGCAGGACCGUCCAACCCGGCGGGAGCGUGCGACCGAGCUCACCAAGUGCUCCCCGGCGUGGCUUCCUCCAGGGGCCGGGCACCUCACAGGCUCUAAUGGGGUCACCGUGGUGAGGAAACCGCUGCUCCCCGGGCUGUCAUUCAGGCCAAGCUGCAGCCGAACUGGAAGGAGACAGAUUCAUUCCCUCCGUGCCUCACACCAUUGUUUUUCUGGUACCGGGAAUCGAACUCAGAACCUCCCACUUCCCAGGCAGCCGCUGUGCCGCUGUGCCCCUGUGCUGCAUCCCCGGCCCUCACACCAUUCUCGCGCCCGGUAUCCCCGCACUUUAGAACGCUAGCUUAGACGCUUUUUUUUGAGGGAGAUUCCUGAACUU
rnacentral:lncRNA from 1 species